rnacentral:rRNA from 1 species
UACAGAGGUCUCAAGCGUUGUUCGGAUUCAUUGGGCGUAAAGGGUGCGUAGGUGGCGCGCUAAGUCGGGUGUGAAAUUUCGGAGCUUAACUCCGAAAUUGCAUUCGAUACUGCCGUGCUCGAGGACUGGAGAGGAGACUGGAAUUCAUGGUGUAGCAGUGAAAUGCGUAGAGAUCAUGAGGAAGACCAGUGGCGAAGGCGGGUCUCUGGACAGUUCCUGACACUGAGGCACGAAGGCCAGGGGAGCAAACGGG